rnacentral:tmRNA from 1 species
GGGGAUGAAAUGGUUUCGACCUAUACGAAAACCACAUGUGGGACGUAUGGGUACCGGGGUUCGAUUCCCCGCAUCUCCACGA